CCUACGGGAGGCAGCAGUGAGGAAUAUUGGUCAAUGGACGAGAGUCUGAACCAGCCAAGUAGCGUGAAGGAUGACUGCCCUAUGGGUUGUAAACUUCUUUUAUAUGGGAAUAAAAUGUUCCACGUGUGGGAUUUUGUAUGUACCAUAUGAAUAAGGAUCGGCUAACUCCGUGCCAGCAGCCGCGGUAAUACGGAGGAUCCGAGCGUUAUCCGGAUUUAUUGGGUUUAAAGGGAGCGUAGGUGGAUUGUUAAGUCAGUUGUGAAAGUUUGCGGCUCAACCGUAAAAUUGCAGUUGAAACUGGCAGUCUUGAGUGCAGUAGAGGUGGGCGGAAUUCGUGGUGUAGCGGUGAAAUGCUUAGAUAUCACGAAGAACACCGAUUGCGAAGGCAGUUCACUGGACUGCAACUGACGCUGAGGCUCGAAAGUGUGGGUAUCAAACAGGAUUAGAUACCCCAGUAGUC
rnacentral:rRNA from 1 species